GAUGAACGCUAGCGGCAGGCCUAAUACAUGCAAGACGAACGGUAAGUUGAGUAGCAAUACUUAGCCAAGAGUGUCGUACGGGUGCGUAACACGUAUGCAACCUACCCUAUACAGGAGGAUAGCCUAGGGAAACCUGGAUUAACCCUUCAUAGUAUUAUUGGAUGGCAUCAUUUGAUAAUUAAAACUGAGGUGGUAUAGGAUGGGCAUGCGUCUGAUUAGUUAGUUGGCGGGGUAAUGGCCCACCAAGACGAUGAUCAGUAGGGGUUCUGAGAGGAAGAUCCCCCACACUGGCACUGAGAUACGGGCCAGACUCCUACGGGAGGCAGCAGUAGGGAAUACUGGUCAAUGGAUGCAAGUCUGAACCAGCCAUGCCGCGUGCAGGAAGAAGGCCUUCUGGGUUGUAAACUGCUUUUGCCAGGGGAUAAAAUUUCCAUGCGUGGAAAACUGAAGGUACCUGGUGAAUAAGCCACGGCUAACUACGUGCCAGCAGCCGCGGUAAU
rnacentral:rRNA from 1 species